ACCUUUUCGAAUCUUCUCUUCAAUGGCUUUCCCCUACUCAGAAAUUCAACAAAACAUGAUUCUCCGGCUGCGAGGAUAAACUAUUUGGUGAAGACUAAUAUCCCUCAGACUCUCUCCGCCGUCAUGUCCGUCCGGCACGUCGAAUUCCAGAACCACAAAUCUGGAAAGUAGAAGUUCCCAAAACAAUAAUGAAUUGCAAAUCUGGAAUUGAAUCCUACUUUUGCUCCAAUCGAAUUUUAGUCCGCUCCAAUUAGGGUUCUAUAAAUUUGGGUGAAAUUCCUGGGUUUGAUCGAUCUUCUUCAAAUAUCGGGAUUUUAGUUAAUUUUUAGUUUGCUGAAGUUUCUGCAAUUUGUUUUUGAGAAAAUGGGAAAGCGUGGAAAUAAUCAGAAGAAAGCCCCUCAGAAUUUGAGGAAAAUGAAGCUAUUCUGAAGAUGUGAAAAAAUUCAAUAAUAUGGAGGACGAAAUUGAUGUCUAUAAUGGUGGGAUCAAAAAAUAUGACAGUGUUUCCGGACUUUCUGAGCAGCCGAGAGAUCAAAUACGUCGUUCACAUGGUUAGACGGUUGUGUGGACAAAAACAAAAAGUAUAAGUCAGACUAUGGAAUGUUCUGCUUUUGCAUUGCAGACAGUGAGCAUGACUGGAGGAAAGGAACUGAGCAAUACAAGUUCAUUGGAGGUGAUGACCAACUUGAACGGCGGGAAAAGAGAAAAACAAGAGUUCCAACAAUUAGUAACAAAAUAGUUGAUAUACCACCCGAUGAGUAUUGCUGGAGGAACUAUAGCCAGAAACCCAUCAAAGGCUCUCCUCAUCCCAGGUUAAAAAGUCUUGCAUACUUAUCAAAACUGCAUAAGAUGGCUUAUUCAAAUUGAUUAUGCUGGAAUUCGUGACUGGCACCAGUUCGCAGAUACUCGACAAGCCAUGCUUGCUGUCAUAGAGAGUUGAGUUAGCUCAUAAUUUUUAUGCAUGUUUUUUCAGUAGCUAGCUUAUGACAUUGUAGGAUUUACGUUCCAGUGCCAAUAUAUUUGAUUUUUGGCUUUAAGUUACUAUGACAGCAGAAUCUAUCAUGCCAACAAUGAUGCUAUGCAGGUUCAUAGAUUUUGUAUUCUGUGUUUUCUUUGCCUCCUUGCUGCCUAAUGUGCUUCAAUCAAUAUGGAACAUGCUAUAAAUAAGAGAACCUAGGGAGGGAUGACAUCAAGAGAUUGCUUACGCUAUAUAAUGUGAUCAGAAUGUAGCUUAUGGUGAUGUUUACA